AUGGCGCCGCCGCCGGAGCUGAAUCCCGACAUCGUGGACGAGGUCCUCGUCCGCCUUCCGCGGGACGACCCCGCGGGCUUCAUCCGCGCCUCCUUCGUCUGCAAGUCCUGGCUCGGCACCCUCACCAAUCCGGCCUUCCUCCGUCGCUACCGUGACUUGCACGGGACGGUGCCCCUCGUGCUCGGCUUCCUGCACAACCCGGUCGACCGCAGCCUCGCUCGCUUCGUCCCCACCACGGCGUUCCGUCCGCCCGCCGCCACCGACCACAGCACCACCGUCGUGCUCGACUGCCGCCAUGGCCGUGCCCUCUUCUACGACUACGGAUCCUCGGAAUUCGUCGUAUGGGAUCCCAUCACUGGCCGCGAGCGCCGGAUGCGCGACGACGUGCCCCAUCGCUGCACGAACCACACGGUGCUCUACGCCGUGGGCGCCGGCUACGACCACAGCGCCUGCAGCGACGGGCCGUUCCUCAUGGCCUCCGCGGGCGUUGAGUGCAUAGACUUGGUGCAGGCGGACGCUUGCGUCUAUUUGUCGGAUACCGGCGUGCGGAGAGGACCAGACAGCAUCUACCUCGAUUUCAUCCCCGAGGAAGCAUACGAUAGUGAUCGGCCUAGUGUGCUUGUUGGGGGCACGCUCUACUUCCACUAGUAGAAAACGUCCAGCGCUAUGCUACGGUACGACGUUCUGGGUACGCAGGGUCAAGGCUCCCUGUCGGUGAUUGAGCCGCCUCCCGGCAAGUUUCCCGGCAGCAGUACCAUUGUCGUCAGGGCGGAGAACGGCGGGCCGGGAUUGGCCACCUUGCGUCGUGACGUGCUCCAGCUUUGGUCGACAGAGAUGGGUCCCGACGGAGAUGUCUGGGUGAAGAUGAACCGCAUCCAGCUCCGGAAGCUGAUGCCUUUCAAGAGCCCAGCUCGUUUGAUUGGAUUAAUCGAAGACGCCAAUGUUGUUUUCGUGACCUCAGAUGACCAUGGCAUCUUCACUGUUGACCUCAAGUCAUUGCUGACGAAGAAGGUGUGCGAGAUGGACAAGGUCAAGGAUGUAUUUCCUUACGUCUGCUACUAUACUCCAGCUGGUACUUCCUCAUCUUUGUUUGGUUAG
rnacentral:rRNA from 1 species